CCUACGGGAGGCAGCAGUGAGGAAUAUUGGUCAAUGGCCGGAAGGCUGAACCAGCCAUGCCGCGUGAAGGUCAGUGCCCUAUGGGCGUUAAACUUCUUUUGUGCGGGAGCAAUCAUGGUCACGUGUGGGCAGACGAGAGUACCGUACGAAUAAGCAUCGGCUAACUCCGUGCCAGCAGCCGCGGUAAUACGGGGGAUGCAAGCGUUAUUCGGGUUUAUUUGGUUCUAAGGGUGCGUAGGCUGGGCGGUAAGUCAGCGGUGAAAUGCCCCCGUUCAACGGGGCGAAGUGCCAUUGAUACUGGCUGGCUGGAAUGCGGAUGCGGUGGGAGGAAUUUGUGGUGUAGCGGUGAAAUGCAUAGAUAUCACACAGAACACCGAUUGCGAAGGCAUCUCACG
rnacentral:rRNA from 1 species